ensembl:lncRNA
CCUUACUCUUGUAUUUGGUAGCCAAACCUGUCUGGAAAUGCCCCUAGAGAUGCCUCACUGAAAAUCUGACCCUGAGUGAUGGGACCCAAACCCAGGCUGGUGUGUGUCCCCGAAGCUCAGCAGCGCUGCAGAUGCUGGCUUGUCCUUCCUACCCUCGCACUGCGCGCAGACCUCUCGCUGCUGCCUUUAAUUUAGAGGAGCCACUCUGAAUAGAAAGCUUGCGCUCAGGAGCACCUGCCGGAAGGAAACUCAGGUGAAAAUGAAGCAGUGGCAUGUGUCAGCAGUCCCACACAGAGCAGGAGGAGCAGAACGGAGACAAGCAUUAUACAGAGCCCUCUGCCAAAGUUUGGACGGAAGUAACACAAGUGAUCUAAGAAUUGGAAAUGCUCAGACACGAAAAGAAAAAAGAAUAAUUGACACAACGUGCAAUCGAUCUCUGGGCACCGGUGUUGCAGGAUAUUACAAGUACGGAUAGCAGACAGUUGGCUGAAAGACUGAGAAGAUUGCCAGACACCAGUAUUAAAUGAAAAUGUCAUCUAGGUCUCAUUAUGGACUUUCCAAGAAAUGGAGAAAUACAAACAAUAUUCUUAAACCAUCAUUCCUCUCCAAGUGAAAGCUUUAUGACUUUGGCUGAGAUGACUCUUUGCUACAAGCAAAAGGCUAGGAGGUUUGUCCCAGCCGAAAUUUCUACUGGAGCAACUGCUGCUGUUGGUAGACCUCCUAUGAGAGCCACGGACAGUAUGUCUUCCCUCAGAUGUUGUACCUUUUUCAUCUUGUUUCGCUAUAAUUUUAUUCAACAAUAUGAUUUGGAAAAAAUGUCCAUAAAUUCCUAUUUCAAAAUUCUGGGGAAACUUCUUGCUGUGCUUUAAUGCACUAGCAAACGUAGGCAGAUGUGUCUUUCUGUGAAACGUUAUGUCUAUAGUGUGUAGUAUUACGCAUAGUUGCUGCGAUCCCAGGGACCUCUUCUCUGUACUCUGGUCUGAUUUGGAGCCAGCGCUUUCUCUGGCAUUACACUGCAAUUAUUUAUAUCCACAAAUGUGAGUGUUAAUGACAAGCUGUUCAUUUGCAAUUGCGAUC